rnacentral:rRNA from 2 species
AACCCAGUGUGACUCGUCACACUAUCAUUAACUGAAUCCAUAGGUUAAUGAGGCGAACCGGGGGAACUGAAACAUCUAAGUACCCCGAGGAAAAGAAAUCAACCGAGAUUCCCCCAGUAGCGGCGAGCGAACGGGGAGGAGCCCAGAGCCUGAAUCAGCAUGUGUGUUAGUGGAAGCGUCUGGAAAGGCGCGCGAUACAGGGUGACAGCCCCGUACACAAAAGCGCAUGUGCUGUGAGCUCGAUGAGUAGGGCGGGACACGUGGUAUCCUGUCUGAAUAUGGGGGGACCAUCCUCCAAGGCUAAAUACUCCUGACUGACCGAUAGUGAACCAGUACCGUGAGGGAAAGGCGAAAAGAACCCCGGCGAGGGGAGUGAAAAAGAACCUGAAACCGUGUACGUACAAGCAGUGGGAGCCCCACCACCAAAGCAUUUGCUGUACCGCGUUGACGGAGCGAAGCGACGUCAAACCGAUAAAACAGCAGUGUAAAGUGAGCCGCAGGGCGCUUUGCGCGACAGCGCAAAGGCAGGCGGUUUCGCGUAGCGAAAGCGAAUGCUUUGGGGUGGGGUGACUGCGUACCUUUUGUAUAAUGGGUCAGCGACUUAUAUUCUGUAGCAAGGUUAACCGAAUAGGGGAGCCGGAGGGAAACCGAGUCUUAAUUGGGCGUUAAGUUGCAGGGUAUAGACCCGAAACCCGGUGAUCUAGCCAUGGGCAGGUUGAAGGUUGGGUAACACUAACUGGAGGACCGAACCGACUAAUGUUGAAAAAUUAGCGGAUGACCUGUGGCUGGGGGUGAAAGGCCAAUCAAACCGGGAGAUAGCUGGUUCUCCCCGAAAGCUAUUUAGGUAGCGCCUCGUGAAUUCAUCUCCGGGGGUAGAGCACUGUUUCGGCUAGGGGGCCAUCCCGGCUUACCAACCCGAUGCAAACUGCGAAUACCGGAGAAUGUUAUCACGGGAGACACACGGCGGGUGCUAACGUCCGUCGUGAAGAGGGAAACAACCCAGACCGCCAGCUAAGGUCCCAAAGUCAUGGUUAAGUGGGAAACGAUGUGGGAAGGCCCAGACAGCCAGGAUGUUGGCUUAGAAGCAGCCAUCAUUUAAAGAAAGCGUAAUAGCUCACUGGUCGAGUCGGCCUGCGCGGAAGAUGUAACGGGGCUAAACCAUGCACCGAAGCUGCGGCAGCGACACUGUGUGUUGUUGGGUAGGGGAGCGUUCUGUAAGCCUGUGAAGGUGUGUCGUGAGGCAUGCUGGAGGUAUCAGAAGUGCGAAUGCUGACAUAAGUAACGAUAAAGCGGGUGAAAAGCCCGCUCGCCGGAAGACCAAGGGUUCCUGUCCAACGUUAAUCGGGGCAGGGUGAGUCGACCCCUAAGGCGAGGCCGAAAGGCGUAGUCGAUGGGAAACGGGUUAAUAUUCCCGUACUUGGUGUUACUGCGAAGGGGGGACGGAGAAGGCUAUGUUGGCCGGGCGACGGUUGUCCCGGUUUAAGCGUGUAGGUGUGUGUUCCAGGUAAAUCCGGUUCACUUUAACACUGAGGCGUGACGACGAGGCACUACGGUGCUGAAGCAACAAAUGCCCUGCUUCCAGGAAAAGCCUCUAAGCAUCAGGUAACAUCAAAUCGUACCCCAAACCGACACAGGUGGUCAGGUAGAGAAUACCAAGGCGCUUGAGAGAACUCGGGUGAAGGAACUAGGCAAAAUGGUGCCGUAACUUCGGGAGAAGGCACGCUGACACGUAGGUGAAGUGAUUUACUCAUGGAGCUGAAGUCAGUCGAAGAUACCAGCUGGCUGCAACUGUUUAUUAAAAACACAGCACUGUGCAAACACGAAAGUGGACGUAUACGGUGUGACGCCUGCCCGGUGCCGGAAGGUUAAUUGAUGGGGUCAGCGCAAGCGAAGCUCCUGAUCGAAGCCCCGGUAAACGGCGGCCGUAACUAUAACGGUCCUAAGGUAGCGAAAUUCCUUGUCGGGUAAGUUCCGACCUGCACGAAUGGCGUAAUGAUGGCCAGGCUGUCUCCACCCGAGACUCAGUGAAAUUGAACUCGCUGUGAAGAUGCAGUGUACCCGCGGCAAGACGGAAAGACCCCGUGAACCUUUACUAUAGCUUGACACUGAACAUUGAGCCUUGAUGUGUAGGAUAGGUGGGAGGCUUUGAAGUGUGGACGCCAGUCUGCAUGGAGCCGACCUUGAAAUACCACCCUUUAAUGUUUGAUGUUCUAACGUGGACCCGUUACCCGGGUUGCGGACAGUGUCUGGUGGGUAGUUUGACUGGGGCGGUCUCCUCCUAAAGAGUAACGGAGGAGCACGAAGGUUGGCUAAUCCUGGUCGGACAUCAGGAGGUUAGUGCAAUGGCAUAAGCCAGCUUGACUGCGAGCGUGACGGCGCGAGCAGGUGCGAAAGCAGGUCAUAGUGAUCCGGUGGUUCUGAAUGGAAGGGCCAUCGCUCAACGGAUAAAAGGUACUCCGGGGAUAACAGGCUGAUACCGCCCAAGAGUUCAUAUCGACGGCGGUGUUUGGCACCUCGAUGUCGGCUCAUCACAUCCUGGGGCUGAAGUAGGUCCCAAGGGUAUGGCUGUUCGCCAUUUAAAGUGGUACGCGAGCUGGGUUUAGAACGUCGUGAGACAGUUCGGUCCCUAUCUGCCGUGGGCGCUGGAGAACUGAGGGGGGCUGCUCCUAGUACGAGAGGACCGGAGUGGACGCAUCACUGGUGUUCGGGUUGUCAUGCCAAUGGCACUGCCCGGUAGCUAAAUGCGGAAGAGAUAAGUGCUGAAAGCAUCUAAGCACGAAACUUGCCCCGA